ACUAAAGAUUUAGCUUUCUUAUUUUUCUUACAAAAUUAUUAGUUUAUCUAAAAAUUGAGAAUAAAAUUCUUUAUAAAAAAUUUGUUUAGGAAUCAUUAAUCAUGUCAAUUAAAGUGCCAGAAACCUCGGUUAUACUUAAUUAUUGUUACGUAAGAUUAUCUAAAAUUUUUAUUGUGUAAUAAAACUAAAUUUAAACGAUCUUAGGUUAAAUUUAUUCUAUUUUAUUAAGACAUAAUAAAUAUAAAAUAAGACAUGAUUACUUGAAUUUGAUACUCAAUUAAUCUUAAUGAUAAUUAUAGAGAAUUAAAAUAGAAUUAAAACCCUACAAAGCUGGCAGAAUUUAAAAAAUUUCGGGAAUUUUGAGUUGUAAUUGACAACACACGUUUAAUCUUAUAUUUUAAAUUCUAGUAUAGCCGAAAUAUAACUUAUUAAUGUUAUAAAACUAUAAUUUGUUUUUCAGGUCUUUAUAAGGUAAAUUAAAGGAAAUUUUGAAAUUUAUUUCAAUUAAUAUAUUAUAAUCAUUUUUAAAUAUGAUUUAUAACAAAACUGAAAAGUGAAAAUUUUUUUAUAAAAAAAUUUUGAAUAUUUUUUUAAUUGGUGCAAAUUGCCCGUCAUUUAAAUAUUAUAAUUUAACAAGUCGUAGCAAAGUAAGUUUAUUAGAAAAUGAAUUUGAAA
rnacentral:rRNA from 1 species